rnacentral:rRNA from 1 species
GACGAACCGUACGAACGUUAUUCGGAAUCACUGGGCUUAAAGGGUGCGUAGGCGGCGCGGAAAGUUGGGUGUGAAAUCCCUCGGCUCAACCGAGGAACUGCGUCCAAAACUGCCGUGCUCGAGGGAGACAGAGGUGAGCGGAACUUAGGGUGGAGCGGUGAAAUGCGUUGAUAUCAGGAGGAACACCGGUGGCGAAGGCGGGUCUCUGGGCCGUAACUGACGCUGAGGAGCGAAAGCGUGGGGAGCGAACAGG